rnacentral:rRNA from 1 species
AAUGGGCGAAAGCCUGACGCAGCAACGCCGCGUGGGGGAUGAAGGCUCUCGGGUUGUAAACCCCUUUCAGUAGGGACGAAAAUGACGGUACCUACAGAAGAAGCCCCGGCCAACUGCGUGCCAGCAGCCGCGGUAACACGUAGGGGGCAAGCGUUGUCCGGAUUUAUUGGGCGUAAAGAGCUCGUAGGCGGUUCGGUAAGUUGGGUGUGAAACCUCCAGGCUCAACCUGGGGACGCCACCCGAUACUGCUGUGACUAGAGUCCGGUAGGGGAGCGUGGAAUUCCUGGUGUAGCGGUGAAAUGCGCAGAUAUCAGGAGGAACACCAGCGGCGAAGGCGGCGCUCUGGGCCGGAACUGACGCUGAGGAGCGAAAGCGUGGGUAGCAAA